rnacentral:miRNA from 1 species
AUGGGUAUGAGUCACAGUCAUG